GAGUAAUGUCUGGGAAACUGCCUGAUGGAGGGGGAUAACUACUGGAAACGGUGGCUAAUACCGCAUAACGUCGCAAGACCAAAGAGGGGGACCUUCGGGCCUCUUGCCAUCAGAUGUGCCCAGAUGGGAUUAGCUUGUUGGUGAGGUAACGGCUCACCAAGGCGACGAUCCCUAGCUGGUCUGAGAGGAUGACCAGCCACACUGGAACUGAGACACGGUCCAGACUCCUACGGGAGGCAGCAGUGGGGAAUAUUGCACAAUGGGCGCAAGCCUGAUGCAGCCAUGCCGCGUGUAUGAAGAAGGCCUUCGGGUUGUAAAGUACUUUCAGCGGGGAGGAAGGUGUUGUGGUUAAUAACCGCAGCAAUUGACGUUACCCGCAGAAGAAGCACCGGCUAACUCCGUGCCAGCAGCCGCGGUAAUACGGAGGGUGCAAGCGUUAAUCGGAAUUACUGGGCGUAAAGCGCACGCAGGCGGUCUGUCAAGUCGGAUGUGAAAUCCCCGGGCUCAACCUGGGAACUGCAUUCGAAACUGGCAGGCUUGAGUCUUGUAGAGGGGGGUAGAAUUCCAGGUGUAGCGGUGAAAUGCGUAGAGAUCUGGAGGAAUACCGGUGGCGAAGGCGGCCCCCUGGACAAAGACUGACGCUCAGGUGCGAAAGCGUGGGGAGCAAACAGGAUUAGAUACCCUGGUAGUCCACGCCGUAAACGAUGUCUACUUGGAGGUUGUGCCCUUGAGGCGUGGCUUCCGGAGCUAACGCGUUAAGUAGACCGCCUGGGGAGUACGGCCGCAAGGUUAAAACUCAAAUGAAUUGACGGGGGCCCGCACAAGCGGUGGAGCAUGUGGUUUAAUUCGAUGCAACGCGAAGAACCUUACCUGGUCUUGACAUCCACAGAACAUUCCAGAGAUGGAUUGGUGCCUUCGGGAACUGUGAGACAGGUGCUGCAUGGCUGUCGUCAGCUCGUGUUGUGAAAUGUUGGGUUAAGUCCCGCAACGAGCGCAACCCUUAUCCUUUGUUGCCAGCGGUCCGGCCGGGAACUCAAAGGAGACUGCCAGU
rnacentral:rRNA from 1 species